UACAGAGGGGGCGAGCGUUGCUCGGAAUUACUGGGCGUAAAGCGCACGUAGGCGGAUCUUUAAGUCAGGGGUGAAAUCCUGGAGCUCAACUCCAGAACUGCCUUUGAUACUGAGGACCUUGAGUUCGGGAGAGGUGAGUGGAACUGCGAGUGUAGAGGUGAAAUUCGUAGAUAUUCGCAAGAACACCAGUGGCGAAGGCGGCUCACUGGCCCGAUACUGACGCUGAGGUGCGAAAGCGUGGGGAGCAAACAGGG
rnacentral:rRNA from 1 species